CCAAAUCUCAUUUAAACCGAGGGGGGAUAAUCGAAAAUCUUACAUCAACUUCAAAAAAUAUAAAAUAUAACACAUAUUUAAAAAAAAAUGCUGAGUGUUCAUUUUGCCCGCUAAAAUAAAUCUCAUGGCUAUUAAAAUCAGUUAGUUCUUGCUUUGAAUUUCAUUUAAUUUAAAUAAAUGAACUAUAGUAUACGUAAACAGUUCAUUAUUUUCCGUCAAUCUCACAUAAGGAGAGAUUCCAGGCAAAUCUCACUAAAUCUCACGUAAUUAAUGGAUGCCAUAAGUAAAUAUUUGUUCUUUUUUAUUUUUAUAUUGACUACAAACCAGACCUUACAAAUUACGUUACAUUAAAUUAAAUUAUUAUUUUUUUUAUAAUUAUUGUUUAGACUGCGAUGAUGUGUCACUUGAAUUAAAAUCAGUGCUAGAGUCCUAAAGAUUC
rnacentral:misc_RNA from 1 species